rnacentral:rRNA from 1 species
UACGUAGGGUGCGAGCGUUAAUCGGAAUUACUGGGCGUAAAGCGUGCGCAGGCGGCUAUGCAAGACAGAUGUGAAAUCCCCGGGCUCAACCUGGGAACUGCAUUUGUGACUGCAUCGCUGGAGUGCGGCAGAGGGGGAUGGAAUUCCGCGUGUAAGCAGUGAAAUGCGUAGAUAUGCGGAGGAACACCGAUGGCGAAGGCAAUCCCCUGGGCCUGCACUGACGCUCAUGCACGAAAGCGUGGGGAGCAAACAGG